rnacentral:misc_RNA from 1 species
AAGUCGUAACAAGGUUUCCGUAGGUGAACCUGCGGAAGGAUCAUUUACAAGAUAUUUUUUUGACUGAAAAGUCAAAAAUUAGCACAAGGUCGCAAGAUCUUGAUGUUUACGCUUAUGUGUUUGACAAAUUAUAUAUUCCAAUUUAUGACAACUUUAAACAAUGGAUCUCUUGGCUCUU